rnacentral:rRNA from 1 species
AGAAUCAACGCUGGCGGCGUGCCUAACACAUGCAAGUCGAACGAGAAAGUGGAGCAAUCCAUGAGUAAAGUGGCGACCGGGUGAGUAACACGUGACUAACCUACCUUCGAGUGGGGGAUAACCUCGGGAAACCGAGGCUAAUACCGCAUAACAUCGCAAGAUCAAAGCAGCAAUGCGCUGGAAGAGGGGGUCGCGGCUGAUUAGCUAGUUGGCGGGGUAAUGGCCCACCAAGGCGAAGAUCGGUAGCCGGCCUGAGAGGGCGCACGGCCGACACUGGAACUGAAACACGGUCCAGACUCCUACGGGAGGCAGCAGUGGGGAAUUUUGCGCAAUGGGGGAAACCCUGACGCAGCAACGCCGCGUGGAGGAUGAAGGGUCUAGGCUCGUAAACUCCUUUUAUCGGGAAAGACUUAGGACGGUACCCGAUGAAUAAGCACCGGCUAACUACGUGCCAGCAGCCAC